rnacentral:rRNA from 1 species
UACGUAGGGGGCAAGCGUUGUCCGGAUUUAUUGGGCGUAAAGAGCUCGUAGGCGGUUCCGUAAGUCGUGAAGUCAAAUCUCUGGGCUCAACCCAGAAUCGCUUCCGAUACUGCGGUGACUGGAGUCCGGUAGGGGAGUGUGGAAUUCCUGGUGUAGCGGUGAAAUGCGUAGAGAUCCGGAAGAACACCGGUGGCGAAGGCGGCCUGCUGGGCGGCGACUGACGCUGAGGCGCGACAGCGUGGGGAGCAAACAGG